rnacentral:rRNA from 1 species
GGAUCCGAUCAUACCAGCACUAACGCAACAGAUUCCAUCAGAACUCCGCAGUUAAGCGUGUUUGGACGAGAGUAGUACUAGGUCAGUAACCCUUAGGGAGUCUUCGAGCUGCAUCCC